rnacentral:rRNA from 1 species
UACGAAGGGGGCUAGCGUUGCUCGGAAUUACUGGGCGUAAAGGGCGCGUAGGCGGGAUGGCAAGUCGGUCGUGAAAUCCUUCGGCUCAACCGAAGAACGUCGGCCGAUACUGCCGUUCUUGAGGGAUGCAGAGGAGAUUGGAAUUCCCGGUGUAGCGGUGAAAUGUGUAGAGAUCGGGAGGAACACCGGUGGCGAAGGCGGGUCUCUGGGCAUCUCCUGACGCUGAGGCGCGAAAGCGUGGGGAGCAAACGGG